rnacentral:rRNA from 1 species
UACGAAGGGUGCUAGCGUUGCUCGGAAUUACUGGGCGUAAAGCGCACGUAGGCGGCCUUGUAAGUCGGGGGUGAAAUCCUGGAGCUCAACUCCAGAACUGCCUUCGAUACUGGAAGACUUGAGUCCGGGAGAGGUGAGUGGAACUGCGAGUGUAGAGGUGAAAUUCGUAGAUAUUCGCAAGAACACCUGCGGCGAAGGCGGGUUGCUGGGCCGACACUGACGCUGAUGCGCGAAAGCCAGGGGAGCGAACAGG